rnacentral:rRNA from 1 species
CCUACGGGAGGCAGCAGUGAGGAAUAUUGGUCAAUGGGCGCUAGCCUGAACCAGCCAAGUAGCGUGAAGGAUGACUGCCCUAUGGGUUGUAAACUUCUUUUAUAUGGGAAUAAAGUGCAGUAUGUAUACUGCUUUGCAUGUACCUUAUGAAUAAGGAUCGGCUAACUCCGUGCCAGCAGCCGCGGUAAUACGGAGGAUCCGAGCGUUAUCCGGAUUUAUUGGGUUUAAAGGGAGCGUAGGCGGGUUGUUAAGUCAGUUGUGAAAGUUUGCGGCUCAACCGUAAAAUUGCAGUUGAUACUGGCAGCCUUGAGUACAGUAGAGGUAGGCGGAAUUCGUGGUGUAGCGGUGAAAUGCUUAGAUAUCACGAAGAACUCCGAUUGCGAAGGCAGCCUGCUGGACUGUAACUGACACUGAUGCUCGAAAGUGUGGGUAUCAAACAGGAUUAGAUACCCCAGUAGUC